UGGUAAACCGGUGACGUGCACUUCAUUUAUGCUGUAGGUCACCCGUUUUACUAUC
rnacentral:pre_miRNA from 1 species